UACAGAGGGUGCAAGCGUUAAUCGGAAUUACUGGGCGUAAAGCGUGCGUAGACGGUUAUGUAAGUCAGAUGUGAAAGCCCCGGGCUUAACCUGGGAAUGGCAUUUGAGACUGCAUAGCUAGGGUGCGGAAGAGGGAAGCGGAAUUUCCGGUGUAGCGGGUGAAAUGCGUAGAUAUCGGAAGGAACACCAGUGGCGAAAGCGGCUUCCUGGUC
rnacentral:rRNA from 1 species